rnacentral:misc_RNA from 1 species
UUAACUAUUGUAUAGUACUCAGACGACACUGACAUCCAGAGUUUGCGGGCCCUUGGCGGGCGCGCGCCAGCCGGGGCCGGCGCGCGCCCAAGCAACGACGGUAACGAUAACAGUGGGUGGGAGAUCUACCCGGUAGGGCGAGAACUCUGUAAUGAUCCCUCCGCAGGUUCACCUACGGAGA